AUUGAACGCUGGCGGCAUGCCUUACACAUGCAAGUCGAACGGCAGCACGGGAGCAAUCCUGGUGGCGAGUGGCGAACGGGUGAGUAAUAUAUCGGAACGUGCCCAGUCGUGGGGAUAACGUAGCGAAAGCUACGCUAAUACCGCAUACGAUCUAUGGAUGAAAGCGGGGGAUCGCAAGACCUCGCGCGAUUGGAGCGGCCGAUAUCAGAUUAGGUAGUUGGUGAGGUAAAGGCUCACCAAGCCGACGAUCUGUAGCUGGUCUGAGAGGACGACCAGCCACACUGGGACUGAGACACGGCCCAGACUCCUACGGGAGGCAGCAGUGGGGAAUUUUGGACAAUGGGCGCAAGCCUGAUCCAGCAAUGCCGCGUGCAGGAUGAAGGCCUUCGGGUUGUAAACUGCUUUGUACGGAACGAAACGGUGAGCUCUAAUACAGUUUGCUAAUGACGGUACCGUAAGAAUAAGCACCGGCUAACUACGU
rnacentral:rRNA from 1 species